UUGAUCCUGGCUCAGAAUCAACGCUGGCGGCGUGCCUAACACAUGCAAGUCGAACGCGAAAGUCCCGCAAGGGAUGAGUAGAGUGGCAAACGGGUGAGUUACACGUGGGUGACCUGCCUUCGAGCGGGGGAUAACGUCCCGAAAGGGACUCUAAUACCGCAUGACAUCCUGCCUUUGAAGAGGUGGAGAUCAAAGCUGGUGAUCGCAAGACCUAGCACUCGAAGAGGGGCCCGCGCCUGAUUAGCUAGUUGGUGGGGUAACGGCUCACCAAGGCAACGAUCAGUAGCCGGCCUGAGAGGUCGGACGGCCACACUGGGACUGAGACACGGCCCAGACUCCUACGGGAGGCUGCAGUGGGGAAUUGUUCGCAAUGGGCGCAAGCCUGACGACGCAACGCCGUGUGGAGGACGAAGACCUUCGGGUCGUAAACUCCUUUCGAUCGAGACGAAUGGUCUCCGGGUGAACAAUCCGGAGAAGUGACGGUACCGAGAGAAGAAGCUCCGGCUAACUCCGUGCCAGCAGCCGCGGUAAUAAGGU
rnacentral:rRNA from 1 species